UGCAAAUAACGAAGCAAGUGCAGAAGAUGAUUUAGAGAUUUGUAUGAAUUGCCAAUAAACUGAAAGGGGGGGAAAUCGCUACUGACAAAACAGUGCCUCAAAUUAAUACUCCCUCCAUCUCAGGGUAAGUGUUCUCUUCAACUUUCGUCAAAUUAACCAUUUUAAAAACUAAUACUUAAGCAUGUAUAUUUAAAUUUUCCAUAAUUGCAAAUUACUACUUACUGAAAUAUCAAACAACCGCAAAAAAUAUAAAAAACAAUAAAAAAUGAGAACAUAUUGUACAUAAUCAAAUAGGCUUCUUAUGGCAUGGCUACAUACCUAUAUCUAUUGACUUUAGAUACCUGAUAACUGAUCUGAUCUGAUAACAGAAUCUUUAUCGCUUAAGAUCAUUGGUGCUAUGCCAGUAAAUUCAAGUUACAAAUAACUCGAAUUGAUCAACUUGUACAAGCAAUACAUUAUGUAAAACAAUCAUGACUUAAUUUUAAAGAAUGUAACCAGGGCACGAGGCAAUAGAAGCAACUGAAAUCGCAAACAUAUCACAUCUAGCAAUUAAAUCAGCCUUACUAACUUACAUGGUUAGAAAGAUGGAUGCUAUUAUCAACAUAUAUAAUUAAACAAAUGUUACAAUAUGAAAAGAAAUAUUACCUCGCCCGCAGCUCUCUCUGCAACUGUCCCCUCAAAUUAUUAUUGAUAACACCGUUACAAACGUUACAAUAUAAAAGAGCAUCUAUGGCCUCUACUACAGAAGACUGUACUUAUGUGAGUGAAAGGUUAUUAAGUUUUCAUCAUCUUAUAAGUAGUUUCUUAAAUUUGGUAAAUUCAGCCCUCUAAGAGAGUACCUAAAAAAUGAGCAGCUUCAUGUCUAGCAAUCCUGUCUUGAUAAUCAGGAAAAAAUGUUGAAAAUCCACCAAUGGCAGCCUAAAGAAGC
rnacentral:lncRNA from 1 species